rnacentral:lncRNA from 1 species
AUGUAAGCCCACCACACGCCCAGACUGAAACACACGCCCAGGAACAGGGAAAAGUGGCUAUUUUUAGUCCCAGUUCUCAGCUUGACCAGGGACUACCCCGCUCCAGCCUCAGCAGAUGGCGAGCCAGGCAGUUUUGUCUGAUGAUCUAAUUAGUUUUCAGCACCUCAUUAUCACCUCACAAUGGAAUCUAGAAUAAAGACUCCAAGUGCAGAAUGUUUACAGGGCUGCUUUGAAUGCAGUGCAGAGUUCUUUAAGCUAAAUUCUCUCACCAGAAAUGGGCUCUAUCCACUCAGGAGACAUUUGAAGGAAAUGAAGAUGUAGGAGAAAACUGUUAAUCAAGUAGCAUGUCUCUCAUAUUGAAAUGUUGUCAAAAUGUGAUGUGUGUUCCAGAUAAAACACAGCUAAGCCACAGUUUGGACUAAAAAGAAACUUGGAAAGAGAAGAUAGGAAUUCUAGUCUCAUCUCUGUCACUAACUAGCUGACUGGCUGAAGGCAUGGCAGCAUCUCUGAGCUCCAUCCCCUUAUCUAUGGAAUGAAAAUGUUGGACCACAAAGAUGAAUGGGAGAAGGCAGGACCUACAUGGAAGGAGAGUCCAAAGUUCUUUAUGGCCAACUCUUCCACAGAAAGUGAUUGUCUGGUUUCCUCCUCAACAGCAGACCCACUGUGCCUGGGCAAAGGGUCAACUGGAAAUGAUCCACAUGGGGAUCCAUAGCCAUCAGAGUCACAAGCUCAGUCAACCCUGCAAUGUGUCCCAGGCAGGACUGAGGCUACAGCUGCUGCCACAUCCUGUGGAUUCAGCCAUGACAGAGGAUGGGAGCAAAGGGAAUGGGACAGACAUGAGGUGCCAGCUGAGAAUGGGCAGGCUGGGCAUGUCUGAGCCCCUGCACUCUGCCAGUCUUGAGUCCAGAACACCUGCAGAAUUCCCAUGGAAGGCACUGCCCAUGGACUAUACAGUCUUUUCCAGAUUCCACUCUGAAAACCUUUAGACAAAAUCUCAACUUAGUAAUAAUUAUUUGCAAAUUAUUUUUGAAAACUGACACAUAUUUUAACAGAGGAAAACUUUCCUCAAACUAUCUAAUCCGGAGUAGCACAAGAAAGCAGUGGUAAGAUCCUGCUGUAAUUAAUAGGCGUGUUGUUAAGUGAAUUAUACAAGAUUGAAAUAUUACCAUGGGGACAGAACCAGAGAUAAAUGUCCUCAUCUGGGCUGGGUGGAGCUCAUAGGAGAGAACUACAUUAUAAAAUCCUUUAAUUUAAAAAAUUACAUUUCCAGGGCCUAAUACUGUCAGAAAGACAAAUAAUCUGGCUCAAUAAGGAAUACAGAUUUAAAGGAUUGUACUUACAGGGCUAGUGCAGUGACCGUCCAUCACUGUGAGGAGGAAGAGCAGAGCCAUAGAAGCCGCAUCCUGGGCUGGCUGCCAGAGUGAACAGCAGAGGCAUCCUGGAGCCACUGAAUUGGUGCUGAGAGCCCCUCUUCCCUCUCCGAGGUUCCCAGCCUUGGGAGACUCCCUCACGAGCGCUCUUGAACACAGGUCUCGUUAUUCUUUAGGCAGAGUAAGCAGGAGACCGUCAUUUCAGAAGGCCCUGGGACAGAGGGGCUGCCCCUAGUGGUGUUUGACGGCUGGGGACAGGGACAGGUGGAAAGCGGUGGGACUGAGAAGGCUGGGGGAGGUGGUUGGGGUCUGGGCUCCGGUUUGGCCGGUGCUAUGAUAAGUGCACCAAAGAGUGGUGAUUUAGAGAACAACAUCUAGUUCUCGUGGUUAUAACAGCCAGGACACCCAAGACCAAGGUGCCAGUGGUUCUGGUGUCUGGUAGGGCCCACUUUCCUCGCUGCAUCCUCAUAUGAUGGAGAGCAGAGGAAACAAUGUCUCUUCUCACAAAGGCACUAUUCCCAGCACUCAGAGAGGCUGAGGCAGGAGGAUCCCAAGUUUGAGUCCAGCCUGGACAACUUUCAACUUAUACCCUGGUUCAAAAAUUUUUUUAAAAGAAAAUUAAAAGGUCUGGGGAUGUAGCUCAGUGCAUACGACCUGGGUUGCAUCCUCACUGCUGAAAAAAAAUGGCACUAACUCCAUCAAGUGGCCGCACCUCAUGACCUAAUGACCUUCCUGAAGUGACCUGGAG